CUCAACCCCACAGUGACAUGCCCAGGCCUGAAGACACGCCUUUGACUUCCUGUGCUGGGACAACACCAAGUCACCAUGAAGUGCAGUGAUCAGUCAGAGCCUCCGGCUUCAGGACUGGAGGCGGGGGUCAUUCAGAGUGGCUCCCCACACCUGGCAGCCCCUGGACAGCAGCCAGGCUGAAAUGGUUGGAGCUUGGCCAGAUCAGACGUUCAGCCCUGGGCCUUUCCCCCCAGCACUCUCUGAAGUUUAGACCUUCAAGAUUUCAAAAGGAGGAGUUGGGUUGUAUGGUCUCCUUAAGUUGGUGAGGCUGGCUUUGAACUUGCCGUCCUCCUGCCUCAGCCUCCCGACUUGCUGGGAAUAUAGGUGUGUGGCCCCGUGCCUGGCUAAGUGACUCUUUGCCAGUCGGCACCCUCCUCUGUUAGCUGGGAUUAAUCGCUCUGCCCAGCUGCAACAGGAUUCCCUGGAAAACCAGUGGAGGUAACAGAAUAGAAAGAAGGAAAGAGGGCCAGAAGCCACACCAGGCCAGUGCUGGGGCUGCGCUGGCUCUCGGAGCAGUACUGGAGUACAUCCGACUCCUCCAAACGUUCCUCCUGCUCUGUGAGCUCCAGACUCCGGUCUGGAAUCAGGAUGUUUGGCUGAGCUUCUGGCAGGUUCUUCCUGCCCUCCUCCCCACACUGUUCCAGGAUGGGUAGGUGCUAUAUCUGAUCCCCUUCAUUUCCUUACUGGGAGGAGGCAAGGAAAGCAGGCACUGGGAGCUGUUCUCUUGCCAAGAUUACACAGAAUGGAGAAUUCCACAAGAGGAACAUGUGGUGCUUGUGGAGGGGGGGAUUCUGGGAAGUCAGAGAAAUCACAGCUCUGUUAACUUGCAUGAGACUUCAGAUGUCUGAGGACCGGCCCUCUGGACCUGAGUUAAAGCAUUUGUGCAUCUCCUCGGGGUAGACACUCUCACUCUGGCCAGUCUCGAGCUACCGGGAUGACAUCACUGAACACAGCUGGGAAGAGAGAGAUUUCAUCAGGAACCAUCUCCACCAUGCAGCAACCACAGAGGCAGAAGUGGGAAAUGUUUAGGAAGCAAGAGUCUUGAGCCUGUAUUAUAUUUUUGUUAACACUUA